UGGCUCAGGAUGAACGCUUAGCGGCAGGCUUAAUACAUGCAAGUCAAGGGGGUAGCAAUACAACCGGCGCACGGGUGAGUAACACGUACACAACAUACCAUAUACUGAGGUAUAGCUUCGGGAGACUGAAGGUAAUCCCUCAUAGUAUUGUGAAAGGGCAUCUUUUUACAAUUAAAGUUUCGACGGUAUAUGAUUGGUGUGCGUUUGAUUAGCUAGUUGGUAGGGUAACGGCCUACCAAGGCAACGAUCAAUAGCUGGCGUGAGAGCGCGACCAGCCACACUGGAACUGAGACACGGUCCAGACUCCUACGGGAGGCAGCAGUAGGGAAUAUUGGACAAUGGGCGAAAGCCUGAUCCAGCCAUGCCGCGUGAUAGAUGGAGGCCCUCUGGGUUGUAAAUAUCUUUUAUCUGGGAAGAAACACUUCUAUUCUUAGAAGCUUGACGGUACCAGAGGAAUAAGCACCGGCUAACUCCGUG
rnacentral:rRNA from 1 species